UACGUAGGGUGCAAGCGUUAAUCGGAAUUACUGGGCGUAAAGCGUGCGCAGGCGGUUUUGUAAGUCUGUCGUGAAAUCCCCGGGCUCAACCUGGGAAUGGCGAUGGAUACUGGCGAGCUAGAGUGUGUCAGAGGAUGGUGGAAUUCCCGGUGUAGCGGUGAAAUGCGUAGAGAUCGGGAGGAACAUCAGUGGCGAAGGCAGCUCGCUGGGACGGUACUGACGCUGAGGCGCGAAAGCGUGGGUAGCAAACAGG
rnacentral:rRNA from 1 species